GAUGAACGCUGGCGGCGUGCCUAAUACAUGCAAGUCGAGCGAACAGAUGAGGAGCUUUCUCCUCUGACUUUAUCAGCGGACGGGUGAUUAACACGUGGAUAACCUACCUAUAAGACUGGGAUAACUUCGGGAAACCGGAGCUACUACCGGAUAAUAUAUUGAACCGCAUGGUUCAAUAGUUAAAGACGGUUUUGCUGUCACUUAUAGAUGAAUCCGCGCCGCAUUAGUUAGUUGGUAAGGUAACGGAUUACCAAGGCAACGAUGCGUAGCCGACCUGAGAGGGUGGUCGGCCAGCCGGGAACUGAGACACGGCCGCGACUCCUAGGGGAGGCAGCGGUAGAGAAUCUUACGCAAUGGGGGAGAGCCUGACGGAGCACAGCCGCGUGAGGGAUGAAGGUCUUAGGCUCGUAGAACUCUGUUAUUAGGGAAGAACAAAUGUGUAAGUAACUAUGCACGUCUUGACGGUACCUAAUCAGAAAGCCACGGCUAACUACGUG
rnacentral:rRNA from 1 species